UUUAGGAUCAUCUGGGUUAAUGUACGUGUGUGUCAGGACAGAGUUUAAUACUAUCUCUGUGGAACAGCGAACAACGUUAGGUCAAACAAGCCGGUUUCAUUUAAUACUAAGCAUGUUUAAGAAGAAAUGUCACAGUUCAGUUCCGCUGGCUCAUGAAGUAAAUCAGGAAUCAGUGAAGCCAGACACCUACCCUGCUCUUAUACUAAUUUUGCACUAGGAUUACUCCGCUGAAAUAAAUCAGUUCUUUACCAGGAAUCCACCCUACUGACAUAUGAGCAGUUCAUAAACUUUAUGCAAACAAGGAAAUCAUGCUAUGCAGGUCUAGUGGCAAGGUCAUUGUGCUCCUCUCAUCUUGCCUUGGUUCAAAGAUGCUUUUGGGAAGAGAUCCUGUCUGUGCAGCAGGAGGAGUGUUUGCCCUGUGUCUUCCUUCUGCUUGGUUUCCUCCAGCCCUCCUGAAGGCACCCUUUCCAGGAUGGUGUUCUUAGAACAGUCACUGCUGACAAAACAAACCCAAAGCCAGCUCUGCUCUGUGCAGCACCAGCUAUACAGGUGAGUGAUACCAAGAAGCCUGGGAAGCUAUUUACAAGGAAGGGACAAGAAGUGUGUCGUACAUGCAGUAGAGUGGCAUUUGUCAGGCUCGGUGUAGCCAGCUGUAGUCUGAAGGAUUGCAGCAGAGAGUCUCCCUAUGCUACCUCCCUUUGUGCUCAGCAGCUGGAGGAGCCCAGCACUGAUGUUUGGGUUGAAAUUCUUGACAGCAAAGUUUUGUGGCAGUGCUGUUUGUGACAAGUUCCUGUCAAGACUGAUUUAUACGGCAAAAUCAAACAAGCAACAUUAAAAAUAAACCCUGAUGUGCCUUGCUAAUUUCUUCUAUGUAAAAAAUGAUGUAUUACAGCCUGAAAUCUGCUGUGGCUCUCAACAAAGCCACAUUAUUAUGGUGCUCUCUUGUCAAUAGAUUUAUGAAGUUUUGUGGAUUUGGAAAUAACUAUAUCCAAGCUAUAUAUAUGAAAAAAAAAAAAAAAAAAUAAAGCUUCUCUUUAAGUGGAUAAAGAUUGGAGAACUGUCAGAAGGUUACAAAGCUUAAUGAAAGAUAGGUCAAAUUUCAGAAGCUUAUGACUACAAAUUUAAUGUGAGCAUCGUUUGUUGGGAAAUAUUAGGUAUUUUCUCCUUCUAGCUCUAGCUUGGCAUGUUGAAAAAAACAUCAUGUACCAUCUUAACAAGGAUAACAAAGGAAAUCAUUUUUAACACUGAAAUUGUUUCAAACUAAAGUUUCCUUUAAAUUUUCUAAAGUUCAUAGUGUUUGAAUCUCUUUCUACAUUUUCAAAGAUAGCUCAGGAAAGAAAUGAACUAUUUAUCUGGAGGUGAAAAUAAUUGUGCUGCAUUUUCAACCACUGCAGUUGUAUACAUUAUGCUGUUUAUUUAUAUCAAGUCAGCCAUGUAACUCUCAGGUACAGUAUCCAGAUGCUCCCAUCUGCAUUUCUAGACUUCUGCUCUAGUUCUUGUGUCACCUGCUGAAAGAAAACAAUCUGACUGUCUGCAGAUUGAACAGCCACUUCUUUGAAGCAGUUACCAGUGCAGCCUCUGACUCCAGGUCUCUGCCAGCAUGCGUUCAACCAGCCUGCAGACAUCAGUAGCUGGCUUUCCCCCACUCCGAGGCUUCACGUUAAAUUGCUGUUGAGACUCCAUGACAUAAAUUAAGAACAGAAAAACCAGUUUUAAGCUUAUGGCUCUGAAGAAAUCACCAAAUGAGUUCUAUUUUGGCAGCCUGCUGCUCACAACUCAGAAAAUACGACAGCAAAGCAAAUCACAUGUCCAGUGUGUGUUUUAUAACCCUGCUCAGACUAAGCCAUCUUGUAGGCACAUGCAUGACUAUUUUUAGUGGCUGUGCUCCCGCAUAUAUGGCAAAGUCCUUUAGCAUUGGCUACUCACUAGGGGCUACUUGAAAAGUAGCAAGAGAUGUCAGUUGCUGGAAUUUUGACUGAAAAUAAUAAUACCUGGAUUUCAAAUUUGCUGCACAGAUUUGCCAAAGUGCAAAUGAAGUCAGCUCUGGCAAUGUGAUGAUUCACUGAUUGCUGCCUUCAGCCAUGAAAACUCAGGAUCUGACUGUGUUUUAUUUUCAUCACCAUUACAGCAUUAUUUUAAAGGUACACCGUUGCUUGUGGGAACGUUGGUUUUCUAGGGUGUGCAUCUGGGAAUCAAACAUUUCUUCCCCAGCUCCAAGCAGGCACUGGGGCAAAUCCAGAGGACCUAUAACUGACACAUCCCAUUAGUCAUAGAAACAUCCCACUAAAAUUAGCGGCAGCUUUUCAUCUUUAUGGGCCUCAUGCCUCGGUCCAUAUGUAGAACAUACAAAAUGGAUUUUUCUUUUCUUGGCAUGUAACCCCGUCUUUCCCGUACUUUGGUUCCAGACCUUCAUGAGCAACGCAGGUGGCUUUUGUUGCUCCACAGCUCAUAUUCUUGACAGU